rnacentral:rRNA from 1 species
GAUGAACGCUGGCGGCGUGCCUAAUACAUGCAAAUCGAGCGAACGGACGAGAAGCUUGCUUCUCUGAUGUUAGCGGCGGACGGGUGAGUAACACGUGGAUAACCUACCUAUAAGACUGGGAUAACUUCGGGAAACCGGAGCUAAUACCGGAUAAUAUUUUGAACCGCAUGGUUCAAAAGUGAAAGACGGUCUUGCUGUCACUUAUAGAUGGAUCCGCGCUGCAUUAGCUAGUUGGUAAGGUAACGGCUUACCAAGGCAACGAUGCAUAGCCGACCUGAGAGGGUGAUCGCCCACACUGGAACUGAGCCACGGUCCAGACUCCUACGGGAGGCAGCAGUAGGGAAUCGUCCGCAAUGGGCGAAAGCCUGACGGAGCAACGCCGCGUGAGUGAUGAAGGUCUUCGGAUCGUAAAACUCUGUUAUUAGGGAAGAACAUAUGUGUAAGUAACUGUGCACAUCUUGACGGUACCUAGUCAGAAAGCCACGGCUAACUACGUG